UACGGGGGGAGCAAGCGUUGUUCGGAUUUACUGGGCGUAAAGGGCGCGUAGGUGGUGAUGCAAGUCUGGUGUGAAAUCUCGGAGCUCAACUCCGAAAUUGCACCGGAUACUGCGUGACUCGAGGACUGUAGAGGAGAUCGGAAUUCACGGUGUAGCAGUGAAAUGCGUAGAUAUCGUGAGGAAGACCAGUUGCGAAGGCGGAUCUCUGGGCAGUUCCUGACACUGAGGCACGAAGGCCAGGGGAGCAAACGGG
rnacentral:rRNA from 1 species